rnacentral:rRNA from 1 species
UACGUAGGGGGCAAGCGUUGUCCGGAAUCAUUGGGCGUAAAGAGCUCGUAGGCGGCUUGUCGCGUCGGCUGUGAAAACCUGGGGCUCAACCCCGGGCCUGCAGCCGAUACGGGCAGGCUAGAGUUCGGUAGGGGAGACUGGAAUUCCUGGUGUAGCGGUGAAAUGACGCAGAUAUCAGGAGGAACACCGAUGGCGAAGGCAGGUCUCUGGGCCGAUACUGACGCUGAGGAGCGAAAGCGUGGGGAGCGAACAGG